rnacentral:rRNA from 1 species
UACGGAGGAUCCAAGCGUUAUCCGGAUUUAUUGGGUUUAAAGGGUGCGCAGGCGGAAGAUUAAGUCGGCGGUGAAAUUUUGCAGCUCAACUGUAAAAGUGCCAUCGAUACUGGUUUUCUUGAGUGUGGAUGAAGUAGGCGGAAUUUGUGGUGUAGCGGUGAAGUGCAUAGAUAUCACGAGGAACUCCGAUUGCGCAGGCAGCUUACUAGGCCAUAACUGACGCUCAGGCACGAAGGCGUGGGGAUCAAACAGGAUUAGA